rnacentral:rRNA from 1 species
GAUUGAACGCUGGCGGCAUGCUCUACACAUGCAAGUCGAACGGUAACAGGCCGCAAGGUGCUGGCGAGUGGCGAACGGGUGAGUAAUGCAUCGGAACGUGCCCAGUCGUGGGGGAUAACUACUCGAAAGAGUAGCUAAUACCGCAUACGAUCUAUGGAUGAAAGCGGGGGACCGUAAGGCCUCGCGCGAUUGGAGCGGCCGAUGUCAGAUUAGGUAGUUGGUGGGGUAAAGGCUCACCAAGCCAACGAUCUGUAGCUGGUCUGAGAGGACGACCAGCCACACUGGGACUGAGACACGGCCCAGACUCCUACGGGAGGCAGCAGUGGGGAAUUUUGGACAAUGGGCGCAAGCCUGAUCCAGCAAUGCCGCGUGCAGGAAGAAGGCCUUCGGGUUGUAAACUGCUUUUGUACGGAACGAAACGGCUCUGGUUAAUACCCGGGGCUAAUGACGGUACCGUAAGAAUAAGCACCGGCUAACUACGUG